rnacentral:lncRNA from 1 species
CUAUUGUCCCCAACACCGGGAAGCCAAAAUGAGGGUUCAAUGUUAAGCCUAAGUUAUUGAUAGGAGGGAUGUUUGACAUACUAGAGUUUGAAACAAUGUUUCAAAAAUAUCAUUUUGAAUGGAUGACUAGAGAAUUUGGAAGAUAUAGCUCUGCCCUAGUUUUGGAGUUUUACACAGCCUACCAUAUGGAUUUGAAAUGAUUGCAUCCGUAAGGGAUGGCAUAGAAGGUUGAUGAUUUCUUCAUUCUUUGUUAAUUUGAGGGGUUCAGGUAAAUAUCUCAACAUAAACAAUGUCCUAUUUCUUGCAUGGUGUUGAGUUUGUGCCUCUAACAGAC